rnacentral:SRP_RNA from 1 species
GGGAGGUUGGCGGUGGACGUGUCCCUCGCCCACCGGGUCAGGUCCGGAAGGAAGCAGCCCAGACGAGUUUUUCACGGGUCACUGUCCAGCCUCCUUUU